CCUACGGGUGGCAGCAGUGAGGAAUAUUGGUCAAUGGGCGUAAGUCUGAACCAGCCAAGUCGCGUGAGGGCUGAAGGCUCUAUGGAUUGUAAACCUCUUUUAUAUGGGCAUAAAGUGUGGUACGUGUACUUUUUUGUAUGUACCUUAUGAAUAAGGAUCGGCUAAUUCCGUGCCAGCAGCCGCGGUAAUACGGAGGAUCCGGGCGUUAUCCGGAUUUAUUGGGUUUAAAGGGUGCGUAGGCGGCUUGAUAAGCCUGCGGUGAAAGAUUGUGGCUCAACCUUAGAAUUGCCGUUGAAACUGGGGGGCUUGAGUAUGUAGUAGGUAGGCGGAAUUCGUGGUGUAGCGGUGAAAUGCUUAGAUAUCACGCAGAACCCCGAUUGCGAAGGCAGCCUACCAAGACAUGACUGACGCUGAAGCACGAAAGCGUGGGGAUCAAACAGGAUUAGAUACCCUUGUAGUC
rnacentral:rRNA from 1 species